rnacentral:rRNA from 1 species
UUGAUCCUGGCUCAGAUUGAACGCUGGCGGCAUGCUUUACACAUGCAAGUCGAACGGGGUUGGAGCUUGCUUCCAAUCUAGUGGCGAACGGGUGAGUAAUACAUCGGAACGUACCGUGUAGUGGGGGAUAACGUAGCGAAAGUUACGCUAAUACCGCAUACGAUCCACGGAUGAAAGCAGGGGACCUUCGGGCCUUGUGCUAUACGAGCGGCCGAUGUCUGAUUAGCUAGUUGGUGAGGUAAAGGCUCAUCAAGGCGACGAUCAGUAGCGGGUCUGAGAGGAUGAUCCGCCACACUGGGACUGAGACACGGCCCAGACUCCUACGGGAGGCAGCAGUGGGGAAUUUUGGACAAUGGGCGCAAGCCUGAUCCAGCCAUGCCGCGUGUCUGAAGAAGGCCUCGG